ACAGCUGCCGACAUAAUGUGGAUCCGAAGAUCCAUAAUUGGCCUAUCUGGGGUUGAAAGUCUUGAUAAAUGCACGGGCUACACCGGCUUCCGACGAGAUGUUACAGUCAUGAUGAAUGUAGAUGUUGGCCAGUUCAUGGAAACACUGAUGAUACCAGAGACCGAGGCGAAUCUUCACAGACGGCUCUCCAUUUUCAGAGGCUCAAAUGUAAUUGGGCAAACCCACCGAAUGCCAUGUCCUUCCUUGAGAUGCUUACUGCAGCACCUGUGACCUGCUGGUUACAGAGGGAUUGAAUAGGACGGCUGAAUCUACAACACAUGAAAGGAGGAGGCGACUUGAGACACAGCAGUAGGGCUAACAACUGUUUGACUUGGAGCAUGUCACAGGCCCGCGCUGCUCCUCCAAGCAUCCAAGCAGCACCUUUGGUAAACAAUGCAGAGCAGGAAAAACUGAUUUCUCACGGA
ensembl:lncRNA